rnacentral:misc_RNA from 1 species
CAGAGAAAUUGCCCUUUUGGGGUAGAUCUCCCACCCUUUGUUUACAUUACCUUUGUUGCUUUGGCAGGCCCGUCUUAUGACCACCGGCUUAGGCUGGUCUGUGCCUGCCAGAGGACCCUAAACUCUUGAUUUUUGUGUUGUCUGAGGAAUAUACAAAUAAGUUA